GCUGGCGGCGUGCCUAAUACAUGCAAGUCGAACGAGUUCUCGUUGAUGAUCGGUGCUUGCACCGAGAUUCAACAUGGAACGAGUGGCGGACGGGUGAGUAACACGUGGGUAACCUGCCCUUAAGUGGGGGAUAACAUUUGGAAACAGAUGCUAAUACCGCAUAGAUCCAAGAACCGCAUGGUUCUUGGCUGAAAGAUGGCGUAAGCUAUCGCUUUUGGAUGGACCCGCGGCGUAUUAGCUAGUUGGUGAGGUAAUGGCUCACCAAGGCGAUGAUACGUAGCCGAACUGAGAGGUUGAUCGGCCACAUUGGGACUGAGACACGGCCCAAACUCCUACGGGAGGCAGCAGUAGGGAAUCUUCCACAAUGGACGCAAGUCUGAUGGAGCAACGCCGCGUGAGUGAAGAAGGCUUUCGGGUCGUAAAACUCUGUUGUUGGAGAAGAAUGGUCGGCAGAGUAACUGUUGUCGGCGUGACGGUAUCCAACCAGAAAGCCACGGCUAACUACGUGCCAGCAGCCGCGGUAAUACGUAGGUGGCAAGCGUUAUCCGGAUUUAUUGGGCGUAAAGCGAGCGCAGGCGGUUUUUUAAGUCUGAUGUGAAAGCCCUCGGCUUAACCGAGGAAGCGCAUCGGAAACUGGGAAACUUGAGUGCAGAAGAGGACAGUGGAACUCCAUGUGUAGCGGUGAAAUGCGUAGAUAUAUGGAAGAACACCAGUGGCGAAGGCGGCUGUCUGGUCUGUAACUGACGCUGAGGCUCGAAAGCAUGGGUAGCGAACAGGAUUAGAUACCCUGGUAGUCCAUGCCGUAAACGAUGAAUGCUAGGUGUUGGAGGGUUUCCGCCCUUCAGUGCCGCAGCUAACGCAUUAAGCAUUCCGCCUGGGGAGUACGACCGCAAGGUUGAAACUCAAAGGAAUUGACGGGGGCCCGCACAAGCGGUGGAGCAUGUGGUUUAAUUCGAAGCAACGCGAAGAACCUUACCAGGUCUUGACAUCUUUUGAUCACCUGAGAGAUCAGGUUUCCCCUUCGGGGGCAAAAUGACAGGUGGUGCAUGGUUGUCGUCAGCUCGUGUCGUGAGAUGUUGGGUUAAGUCCCGCAACGAGCGCAACCCUUAUGACUAGUUGCCAGCAUUUAGUUGGGCACUCUAGUAAGACUGCCGGUGACAAACCGGAGGAAGGUGGGGAUGACGUCAAAUCAUCAUGCCCCUUAUGACCUGGGCUACACACGUGCUACAAUGGAUGGUACAACGAGUUGCGAGACCGCGAGGUCAAGCUAAUCUCUUAAAGCCAUUCUCAGUUCGGACUGUAGGCUGCAACUCGCCUACACGAAGUCGGAAUCGCUAGUAAUCGCGGAUCAGCACGCCGCGGUGAAUACGUUCCCGGGCCUUGUACACACCGCCCGUCACACCAUGAGAGUUUGUAACACCCGAAGCCGGUGGCGUAACCCUUUUAGGGAGCGAGCCGUCUAAGGUGGGACAAAUGAUUAG
rnacentral:rRNA from 2 species